GUUAGGAAUAUUGGACAAUGGGCGCAAGCCUGAUCCAGCCAUGCCGCGUGAGUGAUGAAGGCCUUCGGGUUGUAAAGCUCUUUAGCCGAUGAUUAUAAUGACUGUAGUCGGAAAAUAAGCCCCGGCUAACUUCGUACCAGCAGCCGCGGUAAUACGAAGGGGGCGAGCGUUAUUCGGAAUCACUGGGCGUAAAGCGUGCGUAGGCGGCUUUGCAAGUUGGGAGUGAAAGCCCAGGGCUCAACCCUGGAAUUGCUCUCAAAACUGCAAGGCUCGAAUUCGGGAGAGGAUAGCGGAAUUGUCAGUGUAGCAGUGAAAUGCGUAGAUAUUGACAGGAACACCAGUGGCGUAAGCGGCUAUCUGGACCGAUAUUGACGCUGAGGCACGAAAGCGUGGGGAUCAAACAGGAUUAGAUACCCUGGUAGUCC
rnacentral:rRNA from 1 species